AGCUUUUUAGUUUAUUAUAAAAACGUUUGCUUGUGGUGUAGGAGAAAGUUGAGCUU
rnacentral:tRNA from 1 species